CAGAUGGCGACCGGCGCACGGGUGAGUAACACGUAUCCAACCUGCCGCUUACUCGGGGAUAGCCUUUCGAAAGAAAGAUUAAUACCCGAUGGUAUAAAGAGUUCGCAUGUUCUCUUUAUUAAAGAAUUUCGGUAAGCGAUGGGGAUGCGUUCCAUUAGAUAGUUGGCGGGGUAACGGCCACCAAGUCUACGAUGGAUAGGGGUUCUGAGAGGAAGGUCCCCCACAUUGGAACUGAGACACGGUCCAAACUCCUACGGGAGGCAGCAGUGAGGAAUAUUGGUCAAUGGACGAGAGUCUGAACCAGCCAAAGUAGCGUGAAGGAUGACUGCCCUAUGGGUUGUAAACUUCUUUUAUAAGGGAAUAAAGUGAGGGACGUGUCCCUUUUUGUAUGUACCUUAUGAAUAAGGAUCGGCUAACUCCGUGCCAGCCGCCGC
rnacentral:rRNA from 1 species